ensembl:lncRNA
ACUAAGGGAAGAGUGGCGGGCAAAAGUAGCCGAAGACGUCCAUUGAUUUCUUUCACUUUCGGUUCCGCUAGACUGCAGCUGCUUUCAAUACGUAUGAAACGGCUUUGACUUGGAGCUACGAGGCUGGGUUUUCUGAAAUUAAGUCAUCAUCCAUCAAGUGAUGAAUUGCGUUUUGCCGGUGCAGGAACAACCGCUUUAAUGCACUUGGGAGACUGUGACGGCGAGGUGGAAGCCAAACCAGUAAAUGAAAAAACAUUAGCAGUAGUGCACUUUUUCAUGGCAGGGUGAGAACAGAUUUGGUCCGGUCGCUUUUCUUACUAGCUUGAGGUGGCUGUUUGGUAAAAGGUGAUGUCAUCUAUGUCUUUGCACCAAUCAGGGGUUUGGUGAGAAACAGCCACCCUGGCUCAUGUCUUCCAUUACCUGAAAACCUCACCAAUUAGCAUCUCAGUGUAUCCGAGUUGUCUUUUUUUGUUAUGGGAGGUGUGUGCAUCUAUUUGUUGUCAAGCAACAUUAGCAACUGAGUGAGACUCAGCACUUCUUCCAGGUGUUUUCCGGUGUGUGUGGUGCAGGUGGACCAUGCAGGAAUCUUGAAUGGGUUUAAAUCAGAGAUUUACACUCUGACAGCCUCAGCUUUUCAGAGUAGUGGUCAGUUCGUGGACGUCCUGGUUCGGACCUCGGUCCGACCUAAGUCUGCAACAAACACCCCUUAGAGUCACAACGUGCCGGUUGGUUGCGCCGGUAACCUGCGACAAAACAAACUGGGUGACACUUUGGUCGCCUUGGUUUAAGAUCUGGCCCCUAAAGCGCAUCCCAACCAGAUGUCAAAAUCAAUACGGCAAUGUCACCAGGCCCGCAACCAGGAGUAAUGACGGCCCCUGAGCCUGCUCGGAAGCCAUGCACGUGCACGCCCUUAAAGGCGGCCGCCUCGCUCCCCCACUCCUUCGUCAUAUCAUCAAGCCCCAUCAGCUAGGCUUAAUGGGAGGCCGAUCAAUACGUGGCAGGGGUCGAGGUGAGGAGGCGAGUACAGGCGCGCGCCCCGUGACACUUGUACUAAUGCCGCCACGAGCCGCCGCCGCUCCACCCGUCACUGUCAAACCGGCGGUCCCGCCCCGUUGUCCUUAUCACACGCCGUCCUCUAAGCCACUCGCUAUCGCUACGGCGGGACCACGGGUGAUAAGGGAGGCCGAGGGUCAAUCCCUCUUGAUACUGCCGCUUGUGCAGUCAAGUGGCAGGAAACAAGUUCCACCUGCCAUCCGGAGGAGAUGAACGGCAGAUCGGGCGCCGCGGCCCGGUUGGAUGGAGCGCGGGGGGUCCGCGUCCAGUCCGUCCCAUCGCCCUAACCCCUCAUUACGGCCCAGUUUAUCAUGCCAGGAAGAGUGGCAAAAACGUAUUAGUCCUCAGGAGGGUAAAACAGCCGCGGAUAUCGAUUUCGCCCUUUCAUGCCAGAGUGGAGCGCGGAAAAAUAUUGGGCUAUAAAAGGGAAACAAGGAUAUAAAGCCAUUACGCCGCGCACUUAAUUGAUCCCACUUCCCAUAACAAAUUAAUUGAGCGGAAAAUGGCAGAUGGCUUUGAUGAAUGUCAUAAAAAAGGCUUGUCGGCGAGCCCGCUGCGUGCGCCGCCCUUUGCUCGCGCGCUGUAUCGCAUGAAAGAUCGCUACGGGAGGAAGCGCAGUGUGUGUGCGUUUCCUCCGGUAUUUACAUCCCGGCGAUCCCGAUGUUAAUCACGUUGACUUAUUGACACCACCGCUAAUUGUCUACUUCCUUUCUGUGUCGUUCGUUUUUUCUUUUCUCUUUUCUCAUUGUCUUGUUUCUUUCCCUCCGCGUUCCUUCACUGCGGUCGGUGUACAGGUGCAUGUCGGUUUGCCCACGUGGGAGUGAGAGUGAGUGAGUGUGUGAGUGUGUGUGUGUGUGUUUCAGUGUGUUUAUACUGACAGGCUGCUGCCCCAGUAGCAGAACAAAUGCUAAUUUAAUCAAUUGGCCAUAAAUCCUACUGGCCGCUGACUCAUGCGUCUUCUGCCCUGGGGACUCCAACAAAAACCCUGCCAGUGCAGUUUGUACAGCGUCCACACACACACACACACACACACAGACAGCGUCCAUUUCCAUUCUCAUGCGUUCCGUCUUCCACGACUGGAACAUUAGAAUUACUUUCAAAUAACUGGAAAGUAUCAACACUCGUGCAGAUGUUGACACACUGGGAUAAUUGCUGUUUUUAUUCCCCUCGGCAAUUCCACAGCUGUGCAGACAGCUUAUGGAAGCUGCAAUUGAUCCACGUUAGCGCUCACACACACACACACACACACACCAGACAGACACAGCUAACUUUCCCUGCAAAACAUCAGAUUAUUUAUUAGAGCGCGUUCCCCCUCACUUUUAUCCCUCAGCAUCACACACACACACACACACACACACACACACAUAAUGCACCUGCAGUUUCAUGACAUCCGAAGCUGCUGAGACAGCGUCUUCCUGGGGGGGGUGAGACUGGUUGGGAGGCACAGUGGGGCGAUAGAGUGACAGACGGACAGAGAGAACAUGGAAUGCUGAAAGCGGCAGAGUGACAGAGAGAGGAAAAAAAUGCCAGAAAGAGCAACAGAGCGAUAAAGAAAAGUCAGUAAAGAAGAAAAAAAAAAGAAGGAAAAAAAGGGUGACAAGAGAGAGAGAGAGAGGGAGAGAGAGAGAGAGAAGUGAGGAGAGAGGAGCUGGUGUCGGUACCCACAGGCUCUGCUCGCGAUUCUGCAGGGCCUCUGUGGCCCAGUGUUCCCCAUCAAUCUCAGCCAGCUCUGGCAGCCGCCAGCGGCUGCAUCUUAAUCUGCCGGGGCCGGACGUGAGGACGGACAGGUCGCCUGGGCCGCCCAGUAAAUAACCCCUCUCCUGACUGUCCCCUUCUAUUCCCCUGUGAGGAGACACGGAAACGCACAUUCGGGGCUUCUCAUUCUUGGCACAAAUAUUUCUGCCUCCUCUCGCUUUUCUGAGCUCCGGGGCGGGUUUUGGCGCAUUGAAUAUGCACGCUGCGUGGUUAGAGAGUCAAAUGUUCCGCGGUCAGAGGUGCAAAAAGUAUAAAUAUAAAGACAUUGCAAACAUGUUUGAUCAAGUACUUGAGUUUAUGGAUUUAUAUAAAGAUAUAUAUGUUUCAUCCUGUGUUUCGUGGAGUGUCCAUGAGACCAAGAAAACAAAACGCAUUAAAAAACAUUCUGAGCAAAGCUGGAUGGAUGAAAUCAAUUCAGCCAAUCAAAAAGAGAAGAUCCUUCUGUUAAAUGAAACAUUUGUAGAUAAACAGAUAUUAUAUCUCUUCUAGCGAAUUGCAAACACCCCGACUCUUCAUGUCUGAAAUAUGUUAUUAAUCAUAAGUAACAUGCUAUAUGCAACAUCUCUAGAAUCACGGGUACCUUCCUCUCUUUUAGAGGGCGGGGGGCGGAUUUUAAAAGCCGCCGUUCACAUCUUCCAUUGCUCACUGUGAUAUAUCGCUGUGACCCGCACACACACACACACACACACACACACACACCCACACACACAGUAGCCUUCUCUGUUUGACAGAUGACCUUACGCUCUGUGUCAGUGGGCUGCAGUGUCUGCCUCUGUUGGGAGUCAUAGUGUCCAGAAUGACAUGUUGUGACGGGAAGGAGCAUUGCAGCAAGCGCAGACACACACACACACACACACACACUCCAGCACCUAGCCCAUCAUGGGUGUGUUUCUGUCUUGCCCUCCUACUGCCUCACUGAGAGAGAGAAACAGCAACAAGAGGAGGGGGGGGGGUGUCGAUUUUCAUUUGAGGAUAAAAACAGGCUGGUACAAGUCGUACAUCAAAAUGCACUUUCUGUGCAAAAAGUGUCAGCGUUUUUUUUUUUUGCCCUUCUGACAUUGAACUUGCGCUGGACGAGACGGCUUCAGACGGAACGCGGCAGAGUGCGGUAAGAAGAGCCCGCCUGAAGCCAAAGAACCAUGAAGACACACCAAAGUGUUUUAAGACAGUGCUUAAAAGGAACGGGGGGAAAUUGGCGACCAUCGCUGCCGUGUUUUAAAGUGCCGGUUAGGAUACUCUAAAAGAGGCCUUGUCCGUGAGUUUGGUCUGAAUCCCAAUCACGGUACCCGCCAUGGAACGCUCAACCAGACAGUGAACAUCUUUGCACGUCAAUGGAUGGAACGUUUCUACAGGCUACAGCUGCAGCUAAAAACUAUGCUCGGCCUCAACGAACAGCAAAGUUUUGUGUGCAUCUCUUAAAAUAACAUCCGGGCGCCAACGACUCUUUCCAGGUAUUUUACGAUCAUUUGAAUAUUGCAUUAGCGCGGACUCGAAGGGUAACCUUUAAGAAAAGGCAGAAAGGACGGUCAGGCGGAGGAGGCAGGGGGGAGGGACGCAGGCGAAAAAGAACUCCUUGCGGCUGGGGGAGGCGGGGAUGGAGAGAGAGAGGGAGGGAGGGAGGUGACACCUUGACGGAUUGAUUGCGAUCGCCCAAUACACGUUGUUGCCCGCAGCCUAGAUUAGCAGGAGGUCCGGGUCAGCACAAUCUCGGCGUGUUAGAUAACUCUCCCGCCUCGCAGCCGCAGCUCGAUGCUGCACCUCAGCCGCACAACGUUUGCUCGCUGGGUAUCUCUGAAACUCACGUCUUCGGGUUUGAGAGCCCUCUGUGUGUGCGUGCGCGUGCACGAUGGAGGGAGGCAGACUGUGGGGCCCGGUAUCCAUGGCAACCUCUGCCAGGUGCGACUGGUUCAUAUGCGGUUCAGGUAAUUCCACCCACAAUGAAGAGCGUGCAUUUAAGGUCAGCAGUAUUCAAAUGCACCG